rnacentral:rRNA from 1 species
AGAGUUUGAUCCUGGCUCAGAACGAACGCUGGCGGCGUGCUUAACACAUGCAAGUCGAACGCGAAAGGGACUUCGGUCCUGAGUAGAGUGGCGCACGGGUGAGUAACGCGUAAGUGAUCUACCCCUGUAUUUGGGAUAACUAUGGGAAACUGUAGCUAAUACCGGAUACGUUCAUGUAGUUGCGAUUAUGUGAAGAAAGAUGGCCUCUGAUUCAAGCUAUUGUACAGGGAGGAGCUUGCGUACCAUUAGCUAGUUGGUAGGGUAAUGGCCUACCAAGGCAACGAUGGUUAGCGGGUCUGAGAGGAUGAUCCGCCACACUGGAACUGAAACACGGACCAGACUCCUACGGGAGGCAGCAGUGAGGAAUAUUGCGCAAUGGGGGCAACCCUGACGCAGCGACGCCGCGUGGAUGAUGAAGGCCUUCGGGUCGUAAAAUCCUGUCAGAUGGAAAGAAGUGUGAUGUGGUUAAUACCCACGUCAUUUGACGGUACCAUCAGAGGAAGCACCGGCUAACUCUGUGCCAGCAGCCGCGGUAAGACAGAGGUGGCGAGCGUUGUUCGGAAUUACUGGGCUUAAAGGGCGAGUAGGCGGUGGGACAAGUCUGAGGUGGAAUCCUAUGGCUUAACCAUAGAACUGCCUUAGAAACUGUUUUACUUGAGUCAGUGAGGGGAGGGCGGAAUUCCCGGUGUAGCGGUGAAAUGCGUAGAUAUCGGGAGGAAGGCCGGUGGCGAAGGCGGCCCUCUGGCACUGUACUGACGCUGAGGCGCGAAAGCGUGGGGAGCAAACAGGAUUAGAUACCCUGGUAGUCC